UUGGUGGUUGAUGAUGCACACUUUUUUUCCCCGUCUUAUCGACAAUGGUGAAAAAACUAAAACUAAGCCAGUUCUGUCUGAAACCACAAU